rnacentral:rRNA from 1 species
GUGCCAGCCGCCGCGGUAAUACCGGCAGCCCGAGUGAUGGCCGAUCUUAUUGGGCCUAAAGCGUCCGUAGCUGGCCGCACAAGUCCGUCGGGAAAUCCACCCGCUCAACGGGCGGCCGUCCGACGGAAACUGCACAGCUUGGGACCGGAAGGCUCGAAGGGUACGUUCGGGGUAGGAGUGAAAUCCCAUAAUCCCGCACGGACCACCGAUGGCGAAAGCACUUCGAGAAAACGGAUCCGACAGUGAGGGACGAAAGCCAGGGUCUCCAACCGGAUUAGAUACCCUUGUAGUCC